CCUCCCACCGCAGCCCCGAAUCACCGAGCCCUGGAAGGUUCCAGCGAGCCCGGCGUAGACACCGCCGUGAGGCCCGGGAGAAGGGAAGGGGCAAGUCCAGUGAGAGAGGGUGUGUGCGGGGCCGUGCUGGGGCCAGAACCUUUCAGGGGGUUGGGGGUGAGGGUUAGGUGGGAGUGCGGAGCAAGAGCAUCUCUCCAUCAAAAACACAACAAGAGCAUCUCUCCAUCAAAAACACAACAAGAGCAUCUCUCCGUCAAAAACACAGCAAGAGCAUCUCUCCAUCAAAAACGACACAGCACAGCAAGAGCGCCUCUCCGUCGAGAACACUAGUGAAUGACAGAAUGGCAGUGUAUUGAGCUUCCACAAAGAGGUUUUAUUGUUUUUUUCAGAGUGAUCAUAUGAAGUAACUUUAUUGAUUGGUAACUUUAUUAAUCAUAACAAAUUGGGCACUUUUGGAUAAAGAGACCACGUUUAAUUUAAAGUAUUCUUUUUCCAUAAGAAGCAAUACCUAUGGUGUUCAAGUCAAUAGUUAAAUGCUACGCGCCGGUGAAAUGCUGCCGACAUUAAUCAGAAGUAAAUAAUACAGGAAAGGGGAAGGCUUUAGUCUUACUAAGAAGUGAUGAUAUGAGAGUAAGGGAAGGUGGGGAAUAAGAAGUAUGCCAUGGAAUGCUGGUGACAGCUGGAAACGUCACCAGGAAAGGAGAGAGGGAAGCGCAGGGAGGCCAGGAAUAAUACCAUGGUUUCCUCACAGUUUCACCGACGGUGGGAAAAUGACCUGGGGGGCUCUGCCAUGGUGUAGGUCUGGCUCAGGGAUCCCUUGGCCCCCGCUGAUAGUUGAAACAGGUCUCCAAAUCACUGCUCGGUGGCCCCGUGAGUGGACGCGGAGGCGCAGACUUGGCUGCAGCAUUCAGGGAUGGACUCUGUUGUUAAACGACAAUUUCCUGUUAUGUCAUUUUCUCCACCAUCUGACACACUUUCAACACUCACAUACCUUUGAACAGAAGUUUAAAUAAAAGUCUGUUGACUUUGCACUUGAGUCCUGCUGUGGACUUCACGUGGCCCUUUGCCUUUGGGCGUAAGUCAGACGAGAUGAUGAUACGGUGUGUAGAUAUGUCUGUUUCUCUUAAACUUUGGUGAAUAUCCUGGGGACAGCUGUACUCUCCAGUCACAGGAUCAAAGCUUACUGCAUCUUCCUGAAGAGUCAGUUUUACUCAAAGAUUUAGUAGAGGGAAAAUUCGUCUGUUAAAACAUAUGCUUAUAUAUUAUAGAGUUUUAAUUUUUCAUAAACCAUUUAGAUAAGACACACUUUGACACACUUGGUUGUGUCCCAGGUCCCCUUGACAUUCACCUCUUUCCUAUCCAUGGGGUCAGCAUAUUUUGUGGUUUUAUCAUUCUUGUGAUAGUAUUUGACCAUUAUGAACUGGAGGUGUGAAACACUAGUGAGCAGUUGGUUAUAUGGAUGAAAUACAAACCAGCCAGUGGUUUCCAAAUGCGGCGCAGCCACACCACUAUCCCCAGGGCACCUCAAAAGACAGGCUCUCAGGCCUUGUCCCAGGCAUCCCAAUACUGUUGGUCUCCAAAGCUGCGUUUUGACCAUGUACCCAAAGUGAUUCUGGCUUGUAGCUAGACUUGCGAAUCAAAGAACCAAAUGGUUUAUUCUAACUGUAGACACUGGGAAAGGGACUGCAAACUGAUAUUCCACAGACCAGACAGAAGAGGGUUUUUGGUGUGGGGUUUUUUUUGUUUGUUUUUGUUUUUGCCUGUAGCAUUUUGUUGUUGUUGUUACUUUGUAUUAGUUGCCAACAUUUAAAAUCAAGGUAUUCCGUAGCUUUCCUUUAAAACUCAGAAGUCAGGAUGAUACUAGGCCUGCCUUUUCUCCAGAACCCCUGGCCUCAGCUGAACAGCAGCAGCCUCUCUCAGGUGGUCGUGCCACGCUGUCUGGAUCUCCCGGGUCCCCGCCUCGUCCCCACUGCCUUGCUCUCUGGGAGCUUGAGGUUGUGAUCCCCUGCUCAGUGAACACAUGGUCGUGUGAGCAGCUGAAUCUCACAUACCCUUUCCCAGCAGGCAGCAUGAGUCCACUGCUGCCCCACCCCCUCCCCGCAAGGGAACUGCUCACCUGGGCACUGCUGCCUGGGAAGUGAAGUAUUGUAGAAAGAAGAACUUAAGCUGAGGAAUGAUUGGGACUCAGAACCAUCUCCUCUGCUUGCUACUUCUUGUCUUUGAACCACUUCUUCAUACUUCUGUUUCUGUUCCUAGAGCCUCGUUUUCCUCUCAUGGCAUCUGCCCUCUCAUAAAAUACACACACACACACACACACACACACACACACACACACACACACACACGGAGCCCUCAUCACCGUCAUCACCGUCACAGUGGGUGUGUGCUCCCAAAGGGCUUCUACUCAUCAGUAGAUUUCAUGGGCCCGACCUCCCAUUUUCCUUUCCCCAUUGCUCCCAUUCUAAACUGUGGGUCCAUCUGUAUGUAAUGUCUAAAAAGGCGCCCAAACACCAGUUGGAAAUAGUUGUUAUAGGAAAAUGUAUUCAGAAUUCCAAACAACAGACUUAAAGUGAUGAACUUCUAGUGCGUCAAACCUUUCUCCCCUCGUUGGAGAGGCCACAGGGUUAGGCAGGAGCAUAGGGACUCUCAGCCUGUGCUGGCCUUUCUCAGUAAUCAGAAGCAUAUGACCCCAGCUAGUAUUUUCAGCUAGUUAUGCCAGGGACUGUCUUUUAUUCCAUGAGGUCAAAGGACACACUUGGAAUUGGUCACCUGACAAGAUUGCAUUGUUUCUCUAAUUUUUUUUUCCCUAGUUUCUCAGGGCCUGAAUUUCAUUCCUCUUGCCCAGUGACUUCCCCUUGAUGGAUUCUAAAGGUCUCACAGAACAGCACCUCUUCUGUCAUUUAUCUGAGUCUAGGUUCUGAGUGUGUGUGAUUUAGGCCCAUGCAGCCUCUAACAAAUGCAGAAGAGAUGGACGCAGGCCGCUGGUGUGGGGUGAUGGACGCAGGCCGCUGGCGUGGGGUGAUGGACGCAGGCCGCUGGCGUGGGGUGAUGGACGCAGGCCGCUGGCGUGGGGUGAUGGACGCAGGUCGCUGGCGUGGGGUGAUGGACGCAGGUCGCUGGUGUGGGGGUGCAUUCCUGCACUCCUGUUUUUCUGUCACAGAACCACCAGUGGCCCAGCAUUAACUAAACUAGGCCCAGCCUCAUGGCCUGGAAUUCCAGUCUGUUAUCUGGAGCAAAUCAGCAUUUCCGUCCAGCGUUCCUAGGCUCCCUUUUAUCUGCCCCCCACAGCACUGACUGUUACUAGCGUGAGCCGCCACUUCUCCCCGUUCAGUGCAGGCUGGCAGUACGGGGUUGAUUCCUUAGACAUAUAAAAAUCUGGCAAAAUCAGAAAACAGUCAUUCUCACUUCACACCUGAUAGAAUAGCCAUUGUCAAAAACACAAGAGAUAGCCACUGUUGGCGAGGGUGUGGAGAAGAGGGAGCCCCAGCACGCUGCACCGUUGGUAGGAAUGUAGGUUGGUACAGCCAUGAUGGAAAACAAUAUGGAAAUUCCUAAAGAAAUAAAACUAGAACUACUA